UCCGGGAAAAAGAGUCAUCGCUGCUUAUGUUUUUAAGGAGAGGAAAGUCCGGGCUUCAUAGGAGAGGAUACCAGUGAAAUACUGGGGGCUGUAAAGCUACGGAAAGUGCAACAGAAAGUAUUCCGCUGCUAACCUUCGGGUUGGCAGACAGGGUGAAAUUCCAAUUUAAGGAAUUGGACUAUCUGAGAAAACUCAGAUAGCGGUAAACCCUAUCCGAAGCAAGAACGAAUUUGAGUAAUACUGUGCUCCGCAGGACUCAAGAAGAGUCGCUUGAGGUUGUUAGUAAUGGCAACCCUAGACGAAUGAUGACUGAGCUAAGUAAUUAGCUAACAGAAUCCGGCUUAUAUUUUCCCGGAUUUU
rnacentral:RNase_P_RNA from 1 species